AUGCCAAACUUGGAUGUUUUCAGCUUGGCCCCACGUACACCCCCUUCACUGUCCCCUUCCCCCUUGCCCAUUUUGGGGCCUGAAAGCCCAAACUUAGGCAGGGAGAACUUGGGAGACUUGAGUUUGGGCUCAGACACUUCCAGCUUCCCCUCUGCCUCUCCUUCAGGAAGCUUUGGGGCAACUAUCUCAACAGCAGGCAGCACCAGGCUGGGCAUCUUGAACCCAGCCUCCCCUACCUCCACUGUACCAAGGGAGAUCCCAGAAGGCUCUGCAGGAAGCUUAGAUGUGGGGGCAGCUCCCUUUGGUGGACCCGCCUUGCCCAGCUCCUCACCCGUAGGGAGACCUUGGAGCCCAGCACUGGGCAGCUCCAGUUCCACGGAGGGCAGUGUAACAGAGGGGAAGCUGAGCCGGGCCUCAGGCCCCUUGGCCCCUGGCUCGAGGCUGGCCAAUGGCUCCCCACGCCCUGAGACUUCAAGGCUCACCACCCCAACCUUGGCUCGGGGAGGAGAUCCCACCCGUCCCAACUUGGGUAUGGACAUCUUGGGCAAUCUAAAGCCAAAGUCCAGGCCCUCAGUCCGCUCUGCCCCACGUUCUCUAGGAAGUCGCACAUCUGGAGCCUUGGGUGCCUGCACCUCUGAACCUCUGGGCAACUUCAUCUCAGGCAUCUUAGGAAGGUGCAUUUCUGGCAUCUUGGGCAUUUGCAUCUCCGGCACUUUGGGGAGCUGCACUUCUGGAAGGUGCACCUCCGGGAUAGACAUGUCUGGGACCUUGGGCAGCUUCAUCUCAGGCAGCUUCAUCUCGGGCACCUUUGGGAGCUGGACCUCUGGGAGGUGCACCUCCGGGAUGGACAUGUCUGGCCCCUUGGGCAGCUUCAUCUCAGGCACCUUUGGGAGCUGGACCUCUGGGAGGUGCACCUCCGGGAUAGACAUGUCUGGGACCUUGGGCAGCUUCAUCUCAGGCAGCUUCAUCUCGGGUACCUUUGGGAGCUGGACCUCUAGGAGGUGCACCUCCGGGAUAGACAUAUCUGGGACCUUGGGCAGCUUCAUCUCAGGCACCUUUGGGAGCUGGACCUCUGGGAGGUGCACCUCCGGGAUAGACAUGUCUGGGACCUUGGGCAGCUUCAUCUCAGGCAGCUUCAUCUCGGGCACCUUUGGGAGCUGGACCUCUGGGAGGUGCACCUCCGGGAUAGACAUGUCUGAGACCUUGGGCAGCUUCAUCUCAGGCAGCUUCAUCUCGGGCACCUUUGGGAGCUGGACCUCUGGGAGGUGCACCUCUGGGAUAGACAUGUCUGGGACCUUGGGCAGCUUCAUCUCAGGCAGCUUCAUCUCGGGCACCUUUGGGAGCUGGACCUCUGGGAGGUGCACCUCUGGGAUAGACAUGUCUGGGACCUUGGGCAGCUUCAUCUCAGGCAGCUUCAUCUCAGGCACCUUUGGGAGCUGGACCUCUGGGAGGUGCACCUCUGGGAUGGACACCUCCGGUCCCUUGGGUAGCUUCAUCUCUGGUACUUUGGGGAGCUGUACAUCUGCCCCCUUUGGCAACUUGACCUCAGGACCUUUUGGCAGCUUCCCCUCUGGGCCCUUGGGCAGCUUAACUUCAGCCCCAGAUACCCCAAUGCCAAAAGAAGGCAUCUUGAGGGUGGGCAGUUUCAGCUUGCCCUCUACAGUGGGUUCGGGUGCAGCUGGCCUCGACUCCAGCAGAGAGAGCCCAAAAGUGGGCAUCCGCAGCUUGGGUCCCUUGGCCCUGGCCUCGGGACUGGCCCUUAUUCUUUUGCCGACUUUCCCCUCACCGUCAGGCCCUGCCCCUUCCUUCCCCCGAGCGCCAAAGCGGGGAAAGGUGAGCCAGGGCACCUUUAAAGCGACCUCAGGCCCUUCUCCCCGGACUUCAGCCUCUGCUCUGGGCAGGGCGAGGUCCACCUCCAUGGAUGGCACAGAUACAUCGAGGGUCGGUGCUGGGAUGGCCCCACCUUCUCUGGCCUCCAGGCAAGGCAACUGGGUGAGGCUAGGCAGCUCCACCUGGGGCACCUGGAUCCCCCCUGGGGCCACCUCGGGCCCAGGGGCUCCUGGGGCUGUCAGGCCAAAUGUGGGCAGAUGGAGGCCAAAUCCAGUGCCCGAAGGCUCUGCAGCUUCAGCCACCACCUCAGCACCAGCCCUCUGA
ensembl:lncRNA